rnacentral:tRNA from 1 species
UGGCUCAGACGGUAAAGCGUCUGCCUAUAAUGCAGGAGACCAGGGUUCGAUCCCUG